AUUGAACGCUGGCGGCAUGCUUUACACAUGCAAGUCGAACGGUAACAGGCCUUCGGGCGGCUGACGAGUGGCGAACGGGUGAGUAACGCAUCGGAACGUGCCCAGUCGUGGGGGAUAACGCAGCGAAAGCUGUGCUAAUACCGCAUACGAUCUGCGGAUGAAAGCGGGGGACCUUAGGGCCUCGCGCGAUUGGAGCGGCCGAUGUCAGAUUAGGUAGUUGGUGGGGUAAAGGCCCACCAAGCCAACGAUCUGUAGCUGGUCUGAGAGGACGACCAGCCACACUGGGACUGAGACACGGCCCAGACUCCUACGGGAGGCAGCAGU
rnacentral:rRNA from 1 species